rnacentral:rRNA from 1 species
CCUACGGGGGGCAGCAGUGGGGAAUAUUGGACAAUGGGGGCAACCCUGAUCCAGCCAUGCCGCGUGUGUGAAGAAGGCCCUCGGGUUGUAAAGCACUUUCAGUGAGGAAGAACGCCUGGUGGUUAAUACCCAUCAGGAAAGACAUCACUCACAGAAGAAGCACCGGCUAACUCCGUGCCAGCAGCCGCGGUAAUACGGAGGGUGCGAGCGUUAAUCGGAAUUACUGGGCGUAAAGCGCGCGUAGGUGGCUUGAUAAGCCGGUUGUGAAAGCCCCGGGCUCAACCUGGGAACGGCAUCCGGAACUGUCAAGCUAGUGUGCAGGAGAGGAAGGUAGAAUUCCCGGUGUAGCGGUGAAAUGCGUAGAGAUCGGGAGGAAUACCAGUGGCGAAGGCGGCCUUCUGGACUGACACUGACACUGAGGUGCGAAAGCGUGGGUAGCAAACAGGAUUAGAUACCCCGGUAGUC